rnacentral:rRNA from 1 species
UACGUAGGUGGCAAGCGUUAUCCGGAAUUAUUGGGCGUAAAGCGCGCGCAGGGGGUUUCUUAAGUCUGAUGUGAAAGCCCACGGCUCAACCGUGGAGGGUCAUUGGAAACUGGGGAACUUGAGUGCAGAAGAGAAAAGCGGAAUUCCACGUGUAGCGGUGAAAUGCGUAGAGAUGUGGAGGAACACCAGUGGCGAAGGCGGCUUUUUGGUCUGUAACUGACGCUGAGGCGCGAAAGCGUGGGGAGCAAACAGG